AGAAGUAAUCAUCCAUUCAUCUUCAUACACAAAGCAGUAGCAUAUCCUUAAGUAAUCUAUCAUCAUAAUGGCCGCUGCUAAAACUUCAAUGGUGCUCUUUCUAGUCGCCUUAAUGGCUAUUUCUGCAAACCUGCAGAUGGGAUCAGCCGUUGGAGUUGAUUGCUCUACUGGCUUGGCGUUGGAACUUAAUCUAUUCAGCGGCCAAUGCACUUCAGACAUUUACUGCAAAAGUUAUUGUAACAACUCGUGCGAUCUAGAGUUUAAGACUACUGCCGUAUUAUCAGUUUGCGCACUUCAUCCUCUCCUAGGAGCGAUAGUUAAGGUCUGCACCUGUUGUUGUGCCUCACUCUAGAGUAUUCGCUACUCUAUGAGUUAGCAGCUAGUUUAUGACCUCGGCCUAGUUAUUAAGCUAGCUACAGGGGCUUACAAAACUAUUCCAUUCCCAUUUUGAGAUUUUAAAAAUAAAAGCAGCAUUUCAAUUUAGUAAAACAAAUCAAUCUUAUAUAAGUGUGUGUCGCUAUACUUAUAUAGCUAUAUACACUUAAUUAGCUGCUAGCUAGUUAGAGUCUCUCGUGUCCGGUUGUGUUCGUCGUGCAGUAUUGAUAUGCAUCAUGUAAUGAUUCUUCAUCUUAUGUACUUCGGUGGCUCGAUAAUCGCUGAUCUGUAUUAUGUAUGGUUUUUUGUGAUUCUAUAUAAUACUCUGUUUGGUA